GGGUCUGCUGGAGAUUGGCCGGGAUGUGUCAGCUGACCGGAGCUCACCACGAACCGCGGCGAGCCGUUCGCGGGAAGUUCGCGAACGGUUCGCGACAUCUCUAUUGUUAGCUAAUAAAUGCUGCAAAAAAAUAUACACAUAAUUAAUAUAACAAACAAAGAAUGACGUUCUUGACUGCUUCAACUGUAUCGACUGAUUGAACAGUUUGACACCAUAUCAGGGGAAUGUGUUAGGGAACUCCAGGAACCAUAACUACUACAUCAGCUAUUGUAGUUACUGUGGUUAAGUGUACAUUUAAUAUUAUUUUUCAAGGUGUGUAAAGUGUCAUUAAUGUCUUACUAUAAAUAGGAACAAGACAUAGCGUUAAGCUGCUAUGUAUUUUACUGUAGAAAGCAGCCCAACAUUUUUGAAAAAGCAUUUAAUAAGAGAUGCAAAGAUAGAUAGGAAUACAAAUGAAAAAAAAACUAUUAAUAAAAACUACUAUGAAAUUCAGAAUUUGAUGAACAAUAAAAUCAUAAAAUAGUAAAAAUGUUAAUUAUCAAUAUUUUUCAUUGAAAAAAAAAAGCAAAACGUCGUGUAUGUAUGUGUACAUGCACUUAAGUUAUUUACUUAAUUCUGCAUUUUAGAAAAUCAAAUCCAAAUGGCAAAAUUAGAGAUAAAGUAAUUAGCUGAGCUGGAGAAUUUUAGUCUCAAUUUUGUCACUUGGAUUUAAUUCCCUAGAAGUUAGUUUGGUAAAUAAAACUGCUAAUUCUAAAACGCAUCAGCCUCUACACUUUUCAUUUGUAUUUUGUAAGAAACCUAAUUCUCCAUUUUCAAGUCUGAAAAGUCAGAAAAAGGUUUAAUGUUAUGCAUUUACUCGAGCAGUGUGUUCUUUGUAACAAUUAAUUGUAUUAGAACUUUAUGUUGACCCAAUUGAGCGACUUUCCAAAAACAACUUAUUAGAAAUCUCUUUGUUUGUUGACUUUACAUCUUACUAUAAGUGUCUGUUGAAAUGAAUUUACCAGUACUAUUACAUCUCCAUUUCAUGUGGGUUUUCAAUGUUAAAUGUAAAUAAAUCACUCAAUGUUUAAUGAAUGUUAGAUAUUAGACAAUGUAAAAUGCGUUGGGUGUACAAUUUCUUUUUUUUUUUUUUCAAAAUACAUAUUUUAAAGAGAAUAUAUAUAUGGUAAAAAAUAUAUUAACAUAUUUGGUUUAUAAAAUAUAUAUGUACGCAGAUGCCAUACUCGUUGUCAUUGCCAUUAUAGCAAAUAUUUUCUAAAAUCUGUCAUGCAUUUCCUGCUUCCUUCUAGAAGUUAUGUUCAGCAUUUAUGAAAAACAGAUCUAUUUGUCUAUACACUAAGAAAUAAAUCUAUAGUAUGUUUUCAAUCUAUUAAUGCAUUGUAUUUUUUGAUUCCACUUAAGAAUGAAUGCAUGUUUGAUAAAGCAAUGGGGGAGAUUUAUCAAAGUGUUUUGUUCUGAAAAGGAAUUUAAAGUGCUAAAAAUGGGGCAAUGACCAUGGAAACCAGGG